UGGGGAAUAUUGGGGCAAUGGGGCGAAAGCCUGACCCAGCGACGCCGCGUGAGGGAAGAAGAUCUUCGGAUUGUAAACCUUAGUCAACAGGGAAGAAGAAAGUGACGGUACCUGUGGAGGAAGCCACGGCUAAUUACGUGCCAGCAGCCGCGGUAACACGUAAGUUGCGAGCGUUGUUCGGAAUUAUUGGGCGUAAAGGGUAUGUAGGCGGUUCUGCAAGUCUGGUGUGAAAUGCCGGGGCUCAACCCCGGAACUGCGUUGGAAACUGCAGGACUUGAAUCGCUGAGGGGCAGCCAGAAUUCCAGGUGUAGGGGUGAAAUCUGUAGAUAUCUGGAAGAAUACCAAUGGCGAAGGCAGGCUGCCAGCAGAUGAUUGACGCUGAGGUACGAAGGUGCGGGGAGCAAACAGGAUUAGAUACCCUGGUAGU
rnacentral:rRNA from 1 species